rnacentral:tRNA from 1 species
GGGUCUUUAGCUCAGUUGGUUAGAGCACUGUGUUGAUAACGCAGGGGUCGAUGGUUCGAGUCCAUCAAGACCCA